ACUCCUACGGGAGGCAGCAGUGGGGAAUAUUGGACAAUGGGGGCAACCCUGAUCCAGCAAUGCCAUGUGUGUGAAGAAGGCCUUAGGGUUGUAAAGCACUUUAGUUGGGGAGGAAAGCCUCAAGGUUAAUAGCCGUUGGGGGAGGACGUUACCCAAAGAAUAAGCACCGGCUAACUCCGUGCCAGCAGCCGCGGUAAUACGGGGGUGCAAGCGUUAAUCGGAAUUACUGGGCGUAAAGGGUCUGUAGGUGGUUUGUUAAGUCAGAUGUGAAAGCCCAGGGCUCAACCUUGGAACUGCAUUUGAUACUGGCAAACUAGAGUACGGUAGAGGGAAUAGGGAAUUUCUGGUGUAGCGGUGAAAUGCGUAGAGAUCAGAAGGAACACCAAAUGGCGAAGGCAACAUUCUGGACCGAUACUGACACUGAGGGACGAAAGCGUGGGGAUCAAACAGGAUUAGAUACCCUGGUAGGUCAGUC
rnacentral:rRNA from 1 species